AGGGCGGGCGCACAAUUGGCCCAGUGUCGCCGGGGUAGGCUGUCAUUGUAAAUAAAAAUUUGUUCUUAAGUGACUUGCCUAGUUAAAUCAAGGUUAAACAAAAAGAUCCCCUAACUUUGAUGGAUAUUGAAGCUAUUAAUCAAAAGAAAGAGACUGUAAUUUGCAAUGGCAGACAUUUUUUGUGUGAGUACAAGGAUGAGAAGACCCCAGGAGAUUACAGAAUGAUGAUGAUUGACAGAAAUUAUGCACUUUGAAAACCAACCAAAACGCUUAAAAUAAGCAAGAUCCAAUGAUUAGAAAGUGGCUUCACCUUCAGAAUUGUGACAGAGGAGAUAGCAGGGCCAGAAAUAAACAUGGCAGUGACAGCAGAGAGGAUUAAACAGCAGUAGCACACUUUGAAAAGAGUAGCUCAGCCUGGAGCCUGGGUCUGCUACAACAGCCUUGUCAUAAUAUGAACACUGACUGUCUGCAGCCUCUGUGCAGCUAGGCUCAUUAAAGGAAGAUAUACUGUAUGCCUAUUUUCCUGUCUUCUCCAGUGUCUGGGAAGACAUUACGGUAAACACAAUCAUAUAAGUAUUAGAAAUAAAAAUAAGAAGACCGUCGCUGAAACAAUCGCUCUCUGGGAAUUGUGGGUGUUUAAGACAGUGAAGUCUGGGGAAAGUGUUUCGCAAUCAUGACUCAAGGAUUGCAAGUGUUGUUUCUACAACUACAUAAAUAGAAAAACUGAGUACAGACUGUAUUGUAGUAUGGACUUUAACUAAAUAGUAAUGAAGCGCAUAGCAGUACAUUUCUCCUUUAAUAUGCUUUCCCCAUUCCUUGGAUACAAAAUAGUGUACAGUCUACAAUAAUUAGAUCAUAUACAACCGGAUUUAUAUACUUUGUUGUCAGACCUUAGAGUAUCAUGUUUAUACACAGUAUAUAUGUAUUUUACUACAUUAUUAUUGUGUACUUCAUUGAUGAGCGGCAGGUUUAUACUGAAGUUACUUUUUUCUCUGUGUUGAUCAUUAAAAUAGUCACUGAUCAAGAGUAAAGGCCGUAUUAGUGUUGGCUAAAGGUCAGAGGUGAACAGAGUGUCUGAUAAACCUUGCUAGCAAGACAGCUUCCCUGCAAACCCUAAUCAAUAGCCCUUGUUAGACAUGAUUUAGUGUUGUCACUCCUCCCAUUCAGGGACUAUAUGUGUAACAGAGAUCUUUUGCCCAUGGAAUAAAGCAUUGAUUUUUUAAUGUCCCAACCCUAAACAAUUAAGACUCCUGCUAGGUUUGAAACAGAGCUGCUUUUACAUUGGCAGAGGUUUCUUAUGCAGCAUGCUUUUUAUUUGACCUGCAGGGCUAUGAUGAUGGAUAUGACGGGGAAUAUGAUGACCAGAGUUAUGAUGCCUAUGAGGAGAACUACAGCAAUCAGUCAAAGAGCAUUUCUGACUAUUACGAAUAUGGCCAUGGAACCAAUGACGAAGCCUACAACAAUUACGAAGAGGAGUGGACUACAACCCGUCCAACACUCAAAGCCCCAGCAGCAAGGAUCUCACGUGUGGGCUACAGAGAACAUCCCUAUGGUGUAACAUAUUGUGUGAACUGUUCGAUAAGGGGAGUGUGAGAGGCUCUGAACUCUCAGUAUGGAGCACACAGUCAACUCUUCCCAAGGGACUGAGGAGUGCCUUAACCUACCAGAAGAGCUGGGCACCACCAUCAAUUAGCUUUGUGCAAAUGAGCAUGAUAUGCGGAUGGUUCUGUGGAUGUGUAGCAUCUUCUCUGUCCAAGUCAACCUGGCCAGGCAGUGAAGUAUACAUGCUGUUUGUGUAUUAAGUCUUUCCUCUGCUUUGAUACUACUGUGUCUGAACAAGGAAACAGACGGGACAAAGGACAAACAGGAAAUGUGUUUUGCUUUCACUCAAAUGCUGAGGUUUGUAAGUAAACUAUGCAGUUGAAAGUGUCCUGUGCCAUUUUUCAAUUUUAAGACAUCAACACAAAAGGUCAAACGUUAUAAGGCAGCUAAUUUGCUAAUGUAUUUACAUUAAAAUCCCUUUUAAUCCAACCAAAUUUGCCUCUGUAUGCUUAUUUUGCAAGGAACAGUACUUUUUGUUAUACAUUUACAUUUAAGUCAUUUAGCAGACGCUCUUAUCCAGAGCGACUUACAAAUCCAGUAUGUAUGUAUGUAUGAUUAUGGUUGAAACUGAUAUCCUUGUUCAAAUCCCGUAGGCAUGACCUCUUAGCUCACUGAUAAAACCCAACUAUAUUUUUAACAAAAUAUAAAAUAUAUUGUCCUGGUUUAAAACCCAUUUUAAAACCAAACAGCAGCGAACAUACAGAAAACACAAAGUCCGCAGCACUGCGACCCUGGCUGCCACACAGGCUGAGAGUGCACCCCAUGUGUGUUCCAGCCAGGCUUGCUAAUAAAUGGUGUGCUUGGUAGUGCCAACAUGAACAUGUUAGUUCAUUAGGCAAGUCGGGCCUACCGCUGGCACCCAGACCAGAUGUCUCAGACACUUCACUACAGCGGCCUGUCAGUACAAACUGAACAAAUGACAGUGGCGAGCUAUGGCGUGCUCCUCAGACUCCUUUCUAAGGGGGGGUUGUGAUAAUGAAUGUUGCUGUCUGGACGUCUGCAUAUGGUAUGCCAUGAUUAACACCUGAGAUUAACUACACAAGCAACACAGUGCAAGGUGACAGUACAGCUGGCACAUAGGGCUUUUGUCAUGUUCUGUACUAUAACGAAGAUAGUACAUAGGGGCAGACUGGCCAGAAAAGCCAGAUGGGCUGGUCCAUUUUUAGCAAAGUGGGCCUGUCUGUUUUUUGCGCAAAAUCAUCAUUAUUUGGCUAAUAAUGGGGGCCUCAAAGGAAAAAUGGUCUGAUGUGUUAGAAAUGCCAGGGCCGAUUUCUGUUUUGCCAUUCUCUGUACUAUAUAUUACCUUAACUUAUUUUACCUUCAUUUAAGCAUGCAGUCACCAUUAAGACCAGGGUCUCUUUCACAAGGGAG